rnacentral:rRNA from 1 species
UACGGGGGGAGCAAGCGUUGUUCGGAUUUACUGGGCGUAAAGGGCGCGUAGGCGGCCACCGCAAGUCAAUUGUGAAAUCUCCGGGCUUAACUCGGAAAGGUCAACUGAUACUGCGGGGCUAGAGUGCGGAAGGGGCAACUGGAAUUCUCGGUGUAGCGGUGAAAUGCGUAGAUAUCGAGAGGAACACCUGCGGCGAAGGCGGGUUGCUGGGCCGACACUGACGCUGAGGCGCGAAGGUCAGGGGAGCAAACGGG